GUGCUUGCUUCAGCAGCACAUAUUCUAAAAUUGGAACAAUGCAGAGAACAUUAGCAUGGUCCUUGCACAAGGAUGACAUGCAAAUUCAUGAAGUGUUCCAAAUUUUU
rnacentral:snRNA from 1 species